rnacentral:sRNA from 1 species
UUCUCUUGAACCUUGUCUUGGAUGCUGC